UUUUCAAGGCAGCAGCCUCUCCAACUUCUCUCUCUCUCUCUCUUUCUUUCCCCCUCUUUCUCCUUCCCCCCAUCCUUCCCGCCCUCCUUUUCCCCUUUCCGCCCACAAAAGCCUGUGGGGUUCUGUGACGCAGCGUCUGAAUUCUUGGGAGGGGCUUUCGGGGGGGGGGCAAGUUCUCUCUCUCUCUUUUGCUCCUCUCCAUCCUCCCUCUUUUCUCUUCCUCCUUCUUUCUUCCCUCCAUCACCUUCCCAAGAAGCAGAAGAACUAGGAGAAGAAGAAGAAGAAGAAGGGCCAAGGGAAGGGGGCACUCCAAGGCCAGGGCAAAACAAACAAGGGGGUUCUGCUGCCAGGCUCUUGGGGAGCCCUCCUCCCUCCCUGGCUAUGAAGGUGCCCGGCCCCCCCUCCAGGCCCCGGCUUGGCUGCUGCUGCUGCUGCCCCCCCCUCCUCCUCCUCCUCCUCCUCCUUGGCAUCCUUCUGCCCUCGGAGCCCGGGCUCUGCGCGCCGCUUCCCUCAGACUCCGGGAUAUUUCUUAUCUAUAGCAGUGGUCUGCAGGGCUGCCUGGAGACAAAGGACUCACUGGUGAAAAUUUCCAGGAUCUGCAAUACCAGUCUCCCAGCUCAGAAGUGGAAAUGGGUUUCCCGAAACCGGCUUUUCAACAUUGGAACCAUGCAGUGCCUGGGGGUCUCCUGGAAGUCUGCAAACACCAGUGCAGCAGCCCACGCACUAGCAACCUAUGAGUGCGACCGGGAAUCUGUCAACAUGCGGUGGAACUGCAGGACCCUGGGAGACCAACUUUCCCAGUAUUUGAACUCCAGGCUGGGAAAUUGGUCGCUGACACCAGCUGAGAGGGGUGACCAAGCACGGGGAGGCCAGUGGAAGAUUUACAACCAUGAUGAAGAUUUGUGCUCCAGGCCAUAUUCUGAAAUUUAUACUAUCCAAGGUAACUCUCAUGGAAAGCCCUGCACUAUCCCCUUCAAGUAUGAUAACCAGUGGUUCUAUGACUGCACAAGCAUGGGUCGUGGAGACGGUCAUCUCUGGUGUGCCACUACACAGGACUAUGGCAAAGAUGAAAGAUGGGGAUUCUGCCCAAUUAAGAGUAAUGACUGUGAUACAUUCUGGGACAGAGACCAACUCACCAGUAGUUGCUACCAGUUCAACUUCCAGUCCACACUCUCUUGGCAGGAAGCUGGGAAGAGCUGUGAGCAGCAAGGAGCCAGUUUGCUCAGCAUCACUGAGAUCCAUGAGCAAACCUACAUCAAUGGACUGCUAACAGGAUAUGGAUCCACCCUUUGGAUUGGACUUAAUGAUCUGGACCUCAACGGGGGCUGGCAGUGGUCAGACAAUUCACCCUUGAAGUACCUUAACUGGGAGAGUGAUCAGCCUGACAACCCCAAUGAAGAAAACUGUGGGGUGAUCCGGACAGAGUCGUCGGGAGGAUGGCAGAACCGGGACUGCAGCAUCGCUUUGCCCUACAUCUGCAAAAAGAAACCUAAUGCCACCUCAAAUACAUACUCAGUAGAAUCUGAGGUGAAAGUGGACUGUGAUCCAAGUUGGCAGCCUUUCCAGACUAACUGUUACCGUUUGAUCAGUGAAAAGAAGAGUUGGCUGGAUGCUAAGAAGACCUGUUUGCGAAGUGAAGGUGACCUCGUGAGCAUCCACACCCUCCCUGAACUAGAGUUCGUUACCAAGCAGAUCAAGCAAGAUGUUGAAGAACUUUGGAUUGGCCUGAACGAUAUGAGACUACAGAUGAAUUUUGAGUGGUCAGAUGGCACGCCAGUGCUGUUUACAUUCUGGCACCCCUUUGAGCCCAACAAUUUUCGAGACAACCUUGAGGACUGUGUGACUAUCUGGGGACCGGAAGGGAGAUGGAAUGAUAGCCCUUGCAACCAGACAUUGCCUUCUGUCUGUAAGAAACGGGGUCGUGUGAGUCAAGGCAGAGAAGAAGAGGACCAUGGCUGCAGAAAGGGUUGGAAAUGGCAUAGUCCAUCAUGCUAUUGGCUUGGAGAUGACCAUGUGAGAUACAGUGAAGCUCGAAAGAUGUGCAUGGAUUAUGGGUCUACCCUCGUCACUAUCACCAACAGGUUUGAACAGGCCUAUGUGAGCAGCUUAAUUUAUGGCUGGGAGGAUGAAUAUUUCUGGACAGCACUACAAGACAUAAAUGAAACAGGUUCCUUUCAUUGGCUAAGCGGGGAUGAAGUCACAUAUACCCACUGGAAUAGAAACCAGCCUGGUUAUAACAAGGGUGGCUGUGUAGCCUUGGCCACUGGGAGUGCCAUGGGCCUCUGGGAGGUGAAGAACUGCACUACUUUCAAAGCCAAAUACAUCUGUAGGCAAAACUUGGGCACCCCAGUGAAUCCUGAGCUUCCUUCUCCACAUCCUACUCCCAGCCUCACUGGCUUCUGUCCUGCAGGAUGGACCACCAGCCCCAAGCUGAGGCAUUGCUACAAGGUAUUCAACUAUGACAAGCUGCAGGAAAAGAAAAGCUGGAUCAUGGCCCAGCUGUAUUGCCAGGAUCUGAAAGCCCAACUUUUGAGCCUGAGCAGUUAUGAAGAGGAACACUUUGUGGCCAACACACUCAACAAGAUUUUUGGGGAAUCAGAGCCUGAAAUCCAUGAGCAGCACUGGUUCUGGAUUGGCCUCAAUCGUCGGGAUCCUGGAGCUGAGAGGAGCUGGCGAUGGAGUGAUGGGAUGGGGUUUUCAUACCACAACUUUGACCGCAGUAACCAUGAUGAUGAUGACAUCCGUAACUGUGUGGCACUGGAUCUGGCAUCCUUGCAGUGGGUGCCUCUUCAGUGUGAAGCACAAUUGGACUGGAUCUGCAAAUUGCCCAAAGGCACUGAUAUGAAAGAACCAGAGACAACCAUCCCAGGUAGCAAUGAGUGGGUGAAAUAUCAGGAUGCUGAAUACAAGUUCUUUGACCAUCAUUCAACUUGGGUGCAAGCUCAGAGGAUCUGCACUUGGUUCCAGGCUGAGCUGGUAUCAGUUCACAGCCAAGCUGAGCUGGACUUCCUGGGGCAAAACUUGAAGAAGUUCUCAAGAGGCCAGGAGCAGCACUGGUGGAUUGGACUGAACACCUAUGAGAACGAUGGGCGAUUUCGAUGGUCUGAUGGUUCCCUCUUGAAUUUCAUCUCAUGGGCACCAGGCAAGCCACGGCCUAUCAGCAAGGACAGGAAGUGUGUAUACAUGACAGCGAGCCGAGAGGACUGGGGUGACCAGAAAUGUCUCACUGCCUUGCCUUACAUCUGCAAACGCAGCAACAAAACCACAGUGGGGCCCACUUCGCCACCAAUACCCAUGCCGAUGCCAGGCAGCUGCAGCCAGGGUUGGCAUACGCUCAGUAAUAAGUGCUUUAGGAUUUACAGCCAAGAGCAGGUGACCUGGCCAGAGGCCAAGCACAAAUGUGAAAUUCAGGGAGGCACAUUGGCUACCAUCUCCAAUUACCUGGAACAAGCUUCCAUAACCACUCUUCUCCCAAACAUAACCUUUGACCUAUGGAUUGGCUUCCAUGAUGCCAGGAAGGAGUUCCAGUGGUUGGAGUCUGAACCUGUCAAAUAUGUCAAUUGGGCUCCUGGUGAGCCAUCGGGGCACAAAACGUCCACCACCAAUGACAACCCGACCAAUUGUGCUGUGGUGUGGCAUGGCUUCCCAUCCCUCUUCACUGGCCGCUGGGAUGACAGGAACUGCCUGGAGGAGAAACAUGCUUUCAUCUGCCAGAGGAGCAAAGAUCCUACCCUAAGCCCUCCCCCAGCAACCUUCUCCCCUGCUCCCAAUGCCACCCUUUCAUAUCUCAACAGCACUUACCGCAUACUCAGGAAGCCUCUCAAGUGGCAGGACGCUGUGCUGCUCUGUGAGAGCCUCAAUGCAAGUCUGGUGAGCGUGAUGGAGCCAUACACCCAGGCCUACCUCACCCAAGCCAUCAGCAGUGUGCGUGCCCCACUCUGGAUUGGCUUGUCCAAUGAAGAGGGACGACGGAACUAUAUGUGGUUCACAGAUGAGAGCCUUUCCUACACAAACUGGCAGGAUGGAGAACCACAACAAAUUAUGGGGUGCACGUACAUGGAUGUAGAUGGAACAUGGAGAACUGCCAGCUGUGAUGCCAAGCUGCAAGGGGCCAUCUGCAAGAUGAACACAGGACCUCUUUCUUCACACAAGUGGAGCUAUAAUGGGAGCUGUCCUAAAUCAGUGGAGGAUUCUUCCUGGAUUGCUUUCCGGAAUCAUUGCUAUGCUUUCCACAUGGAAGUUAUGCUAGGCCAGAAGGAAGCUAUGAAGAGGUGUCAGAAAGGUACUUGAUGAGCUACUUUGACGAGGAAACAGAAAAUGCAAAGGCCUCAGGGCAUGAUGUAUUCUAUCAUGGAGGGUAACUGAAUGCACAACUCCACAAUUUUCAUCCUUGUGUUAUGGUGCACCAGCACUUCCAUCAUAGCACUUCACAUUGCCAUUUUCAAACAAGUUUCUUGGUCAAUAAAAUGCCUUUUUGCAUGGUUAGGGGCUGGGAAAGCAAAAUCAUCACGCUCAUAAGUGGAUUACUUGCAUUUGGCAGUGGUUUGGUACAAAAAAAAUUACUCAAGAAUUGCCACAGAAGGAAAAAAAACCUAUUUUUGGUGAGCUUUGGGGAUAAAAAGCUUUCCAAGGACCACAAAAAUUGAAUUCUAGGGCUAUGCUUUACCCAAUCUUGUACUAAACAUAUGUGCACACAUUGGCUGAUGUUAGUGGCAUACUCACUUGUAAGCUAACCCUAUGCCUGUGUGUGUUUAUUUUUGGCCACUGCAAGAGGCUGAUGUUUUCUUCCUCCCUCUACAAUGUCUGAAGCCCCCACUCAUAUACCACAUUUUCACAGAAUCCCCCAAUCAUUGGUGCCCGAUGGAAAGUGUGGGGUGGGUAGCAUUGCAGAAAUGUCUGGCUGUUUCCUAUCCCAGCUGCCACUGCUUUGGCCCUGGAAGAAGACAAGAGCAGCCAGCAUCUUCUGAACUUAACUCCUUGCCCCACUGUCAUCCCCCCUUUCCUUGUUUUUUUUUUUUUUAUGCUUUUUAGAUAGGCUGUCUAAAGACAGGGAACUGUCAGAUUGUUAAUUUGUAAGCCACUCUUGAAAUCCCUUUGACUGAAGAGCAGGAUAUAAAGAGUCAAAACAAAUACAUAAUGAUUAUCUCAGCCACUGAGUCUGACUAAGGGAACAUAGGCAGAUGCUUCUGUGACCCUCCUCCUCCAUUCACCAAUGACCCCUGGCUGGGGCUUCAGUGGCAAUAUAGUCAAUCCAGUAUUGGUAAGUGGCUCACCAUAGUGUAGUUUUUUUAUUUGAAACACCUAUGUUACACUAAGCUAUAUAGGAUUGCAUCUAUUGUGUGUGCAGGUGUAUGUUUAUAGAUUUCAUGUGUAGGUAUGUGUGUGAGCAAACAUGCAUGUCUGCUUUUGGUCUGGAAAAUGUGAAUCAAAUUACUUCACUUAAAAUGUGGGCAGAAUGAAAUCUUCAAGCAUCUUGUGUCGUGUGUGUGUGUUGUCUAAGUGUCUGUGUAUUUUUUAUUGUAUGUGUGUGCAUGUUUAUACACACACACAGUCAUGCAUACUUAUAUAUGGGAAGAAGGAAUGAGGUAUUCCGUACUUGUGGAAGCUGGACAUGGCCUGACUGAAAGCAGGAAAAAAUGUGUGCCAGUGGUAUGUUUUUAUGUGCAGACACUAAAUUAGAGAUCACAUAUGCAAAUUCCAUUAUCUUCAUUCCAGAAUGCUAUUUUCUCAUCAGACAACAAUCUGAGAAGAAAACAAGAUAUCAGGGCAAUGUUCACAGAUUCAUAGUACAUUCAUCUAGAAAUCAGUUGCUCGAGAUACAGUCUUCUCCUGCAAUUCGUGUCCUGAGAGGAACAUCAAUUAAAGGCAGCUGAUAGGCAGUAUGGGAAUCCAUGGAGUUUUUUCCCCCAGCCAGAUUGUUCUGGUCAUUUAGGGCUCCCUGCUUGGUGAACUGAUCUUUUCCUGUGAACAAAUAUCUUAAGAAAAUACUGCAUGGUUUCCAGGCAAAUACAUGCAGACACCAGCCCUUUUAUCAUCCAUGCUCCAACUAUCUCAGCUUCUUGAUCUGCAUGUUGGAAAGUUUGAACAGCAUGAGACUUUUUGGUCUUCCCUUUUCAUUUUAUUAUGUUUUAAGCUAUUACACGUGAGUUGGUGUUGUAUGGGGCUAAGAGACUGAGCAAUGAAUCAGGAAAUUCAGAUUUCACCUUAAACGGACUAGGUGAGUGAGGCAAGCCACCUCCCAUAGCCUCGGUCUCCUGAUCUUCAAUAUGCAGUGCUGACCAUAAGAUUGUUGUAACAAUUAUCAUUAAGCAAUGCAUGUGAAUACUUUGAACAUUUGCUGAUCUUCCUAUUCCUGUUUUGGAGAAAACAUGGUAAUACUGUACAUGGAGAGUGCCUACUAAAUCUUAGCUAUCAAAGAGCAAAUCAGCUUAUGUAUCCGUCAAUCAGAAUUGGGGAAGAUCCUUCUUCCAUGAUUUACCACUUUUGACCCAUUCUGCUUUCUUGUCUCACAGUCCUUGCCCCACCCGCCCACUCACUAAUAUAGAUGUGUAUAUAACUUGUCCAUGGUUUUCAUGUGACAAAAUGUCAAUUUCCUUUGUAUGGCAUGGAUGUCUUCCUAGAUGGUGUAAUGCAAUGGCUUCUCAGUUGAGAAUCAUUCAAAUUGAAGUGUAAACUUGUGAGCAAGCUGUGCUCUUCUUGCCUUAUGACCUUUCAGGGUGGUGUAUCUCUUUCCUCUCCUACCCCCACAGUUGGAGGCUCGGUGCUGUCCAUCCUAGAUGAGAUGGAGAAUGUCUUCAUUUGGGAACACCUCCAAGCUUAUGAGAGCCAAUCCAAAGGGGCCUGGCUGGGGAUGGCCUUUAACCCUAAAGGGGGAACACUGGUGUGGCAUGACAACAUG